rnacentral:lncRNA from 1 species
CGAUUACUCCUGAAAUCUGCCUAUACCAAUUUGAAAGUAGAUUUUAUGGAAUCUACAAUCAUGCACGUUGAUCAGUUUGGUAUCUACUUUUGUUCCAAGAAGUUGAAAUAGAGAGACUUUUUAUUUGUUUGAACUUAAUACAACACUUUAUCAAUUAUCGAUCAGGAAUAACAUGCAAGAAAUGAAACAAGAAAUAAAAAUAAAGCAAAACAAAACAAUUACUCAGGUCAGAACUAGCAAUAAAUUAGUUAAGCUUAAGCAGCCGCUUUGGCAGUGAACUCCUUCUCCACAGCCUUCAUCAGAAAGCUAUCUUCUUCCAGGACCAUUUGUACAGGCAAGAAACCGAGACCAUUGGCCAUGGCAAGCAUCAUUUGCUUGGUCUCUGCCUUGAACUCCUCCAAAUCCACCGUGCCAUUUGAGUCAUGAUCGAAUUGGACAAACAGAGAGUUGUAAACACUAGCAAGCUCUUCUGGGUCUGGUUUCUCGUCGAUGCCAAAAUGGGUCUCAAAGACCCUCAGACUCUUGAGCUCCUGCAUCAUUUCUGCAUAAGAAAGGAGACCAUCAUGAUCUGUAUCAAGAUGGGCAAAACGGUUUCGUAUCGAGUUGUUGAAUGCUUCUUCAUCUUCCACAAAGCUGACAAUUGUUGCACCAUCUAACACUUCCACACUCAUUCUGCUCUUAUAUAUGCUGCCUUCUUUUGCUUUAUAGUAAUAUGUAAAGUCAGAGGAUCGGAAGUUUUCGAUCUUGUUGAAACAUAAUUUGGGUGUUGUUUGUAUUUAUAGGCGCACGCUUGAAAGGCAGUUUCAAAAUUUUGCCAUAGCUUUUUGAAUCGAUCGCCUGAGAAGUAGUAGGUUUGCAGAAAAAUUCGAGUCAGUGGGCGUGCAUGCAUUUUUGUGUAAUUUGCUAGUGUGGCCAUUCAAUUACUUUUGAGAAUCUGUGGGCUCACCGUGUUCUCUAGAGAGUCAAACAUAUCAACAGAAAUUGACCAAUAAAGUCAAAGGUGGAAUUUAAAAAUACAGCUUCAAACUUCAAUUCAAUUCUACGUAUCUUUGAAGAACAGUGUAGGUAUGACUUAUGAGAUCCAUAGCUGCAGCUAUAUUAAUAUAUGAAAUUCGAUUAAGUUUGUUAAGCGUUAUACAUAUAUAUAUGAACCUUCGCAUGAAUGUACGCAUAAUAAUAAAUUGUGGAAUCUGUGUGAAUAUGAAAACGACUGCGUUUUGUGCGUAACUAACUAUAAUGGGCCACGCGCUUGACCUAGAUAAGUCAAACGCCAAUCAAAUGAGCGUUAACUGCUGUUAGUUUUGGCGCUAAAGCGCUGGGUAGGUUGCAUUUACAAAGCUGUUACAACAGCCACAUAGCGGCGGAAAUUGCGGUCUUUUUGCAAAUGCUUAGCAGAAAUAGAGUAGCUGAGAGCCUGAGACCGUAUUCAGGGGCUCCUGAUGUAUUCCUACGUUGAAUUUUACUUAAUAGGAUUUUGGGUCAAGCGGAAGGGGUAACUAAGCAAUAACGAAUCUAUUUAUCUACAUAUGUUUAUUUCUAAUUUAUUUUAUGAGCAAAGUUGAAAAUGAAUUUUGGGAUGGAAAUUAUUAAUUUUUAGCGAUCUAGUCAUAAAAAAAUAACGAUAAUUACUAAUUUUUUCUUUGAAAAAAUGUCUGUUUUAAGAAAUUGAUUACAAUCUAUUGUCUACGAAUGCUAUGAUUUAAAAUUUCUUGAAAAUUUAAACACAUAUAAUAGUAGUCUAAUUUAAACGUCUUCUAACACUAAUCAAAAUUAUACUCCUACUAAUAUACAGGGAGAAAUCUGCACAAAUCUACCACUAGGCCAAAGCCUUAGUGGCAAUUACUACAGAAAUCUGCCUAUACCAAAUUGAAAGUAAAUUUUAUGGAAUCUACAAUCAUGCCUGUUGAUCAAUUUUGGUAUCUAUUCUUGUACCAAGAAGUUGAAAUAGAGUGACUUUUUAUUCAUUUAAAUUAAUACAACAUUAUCAAUUAUUGUUCGGGAAUAACAUGCAAGAAAUGAAACAAGAAAUAAAAAUAAAGCAAAACAAAACAAUUACUCAGGUCAGAACUAGCAAUAAAUUAGUUAAGCUUAAGCAGCCGCUUUGGCAGUGGACUCCUUCUCCACAGCCUUCAUCAGAAAGCUAUCUUCUUCAAGGACCAU